rnacentral:lncRNA from 1 species
AAAGAGGGAGUGAAGGUCUCUGAAAAUGUAGGAGUCCCUUUAGUAGAUGGGGAGAAAUGGGUUAAAGAUUUUUAAAAAUUGCACAGACAGUAGUUGUUUGCUCUUUGGUUACAGGUGAAUUAUCUCUAUCCUAGUUAGGAGUGGAGGACUGAAGUAUGUCUCAAUGCACAAACUAAGGCUGUGCAGGCUUGGAAAGAAAUUUUCUUUUGUAAUAAAAGGCUAGGCCCCUUGCUAUAGACAUGAGUGAUUAGUUACAAUAGGUUAUUGGGGGUAUCAUCCAGGUAAUGAAAUGUUCAACAAGAAGAUUAUAAAGGUAACUAGAUUUGCCCCAUGGAUUUUGCCCAGUGGUUUUGAAGGCAAAACAAGAUUAAUUUGAAUAUGUAAGGAAGAAAAAUAACUUGGGAUUGAUGAGGGGCUGAUUUUUUACAUUUAUAAAAGCCUGAUGGUGUCAACUACAAAUUUAAAAUCUGUAUUGGGUAUACACAGAACAAUCUCUAGUGUGGCACCAGAUUAAUGGGGGUACCUUGAAAAAUCAGGUCAGAAUAAAGUGACAGAAAUUAUAAAACAUACAUGAUAAUGAUAAUAAACAAGACAUUUAUUUUUCAUACUCUUUUGGGGGAAAGGAAAAAAAUCAGUUUGCCCUACCCAAUGAUGGUCUUUCUGAAAGAUUCUCCAUUCAUUCCAUAGAACUGGAUAGGUUGCUUCAUCUCAGAGGAUUUUGUACUCUUAAUUCAUAAAGAGAACUUCUCUUCAGGAAAGUGGUCAAAGGGUGAGCCUCUGUGAGCAGCUUCGCUGGUGCACAGCCAGACUCCCUCUCUGGGUGAAUCUUCCUGUAGUGUCUUCGAAUCUGGGGAUUUUUGUUCCAGCUUCUCUCUUCUGAAAGAAUUUUGGAUAUCCCAGCUUGAGGAUCCUGUAGCCUCAGAGUGGUCAUAUUUGUGGUGGGCUUCAGUCAUCACAUCUGAUAAAAUGAGAGGGAAGUCAUAUAAGAAGCACCAAUAAUGCUGAGUUAGAAUAGGGAAAAAGAAACAUAAUACUUUGAGUGCUUAUGAUGUGCCAGGCCUUAUUCUUUGCAUAGACAAUGCAAUCCUGAAAACAAUGCCAUGAGAGUGAUACAGAUAAUGGGAGCAAAGGGAGCCUGUCAAAGGUCACAGAGCUAGGUAAGUUAGAGCUGACUCAAAUAGGCAUUCUCCAUAGCAGUGUACUGCCUCUAAAUUUAAUUUAGGCCAACAAAUAACCUUGUAAGAUAGACAUGGUUUUCUCUAUUUUACAGGUCAGAAAACAGGCUCAGAAAAUUUAGAAAACUAUACAGAAUCACACAGAGCCCCAUACCCAACUUUUAUCUGACUCCAAAACAGGUGUGGAUCCAGGCUAUAUAAGGCCUAAAACUUUCCCAUUUUAGAGGCACCCUUUUAAGAAAAUGUAUAAAAUUAAGCACAGGGUCUUGGAGAGACCAAUCCAAGUGAGGGGUCCUAAAACUGAAGCUGCAUUUGCUUCUUCAGAAAUCCACCUCUGUCCAAUCUGUUCUGACAAUAGAAUAAGCACCAUGACCUCAGAAAAUAUGUAGCACAAUCCUGGGUACUUUACAUCUAUCAUUGCUAAUCCCUGCAACCCUACAAGAUAGAACUUAUUGUCCUAUUUUACAGACGAACCUGGAGCUUAAGGAAGUUAAAUAACCUGUCUGAUACUGCAGAUCUAGCCAUGGCAAUUAUAGAAUCUGAUCCAAGGAAUUUUUCCCAUUAAAAUCCUUGCUAUUUUCAGUCUACUAAGCUAUGGCAAAACUGAAAUCAAUUUUGGUUUGGAAGUUAUUCUCUAUGCAGAUAUUGACUUUUUUUUUUCCGAAUACUGCCCUGCAUCUGAGCCUCCUGGUGCACUUUAAAUAUGGGUCCAUUCAUCACCAUUAACAGUUUUCUUGGUGUCUGUCACUCCAGGGUAAUCUUCUCCUUGUUCCCUUGCCUUAUUCAGAGACAGUGCUGAGAUUUAAGCUGCUCAUUCAUUCUCAGAGACUACUUCAACGCUACCUCCAUAUCAAGAUGGUUCUCUUGCUCUGUUUCUACUAUUACUUCUAACUCCAGCUCACAGGCUUUUCUUAUAACCCUAGGAACAGCAAGCUCUACCAAAGCAAGGUCUCCUCUGCUUCCUCAGACUGCCGACCAGUGCUGAGAACAGGGACACUGAAUAUCUGUGAGCUGAGCGCAUCCAGCCAUCAACUGACUCACUCACUGAAGAACGCUACAUUCUGGGCAUAUCUUCCAUGACAGUCCAGCAGGGUAGCUGUUGGAAAUCCAAACAUGUCCACUCCUGCUUACGACCUCAGUCACCACCUCUUCAUAUGAUUCUUCCAUGGGCUGUUCCUGAGCACCUGAGGGAGAAAAACAAACAGAAACAAACAGGAAAGGGCAGAAUAAUUGAUAUGUGAGAAGGAAAAAGUCAACAGUUGUUGAGACAUAAGUGAAUGUAAGAAACCUAGAUUGUUUGACAUAAUGUCAGUUACUAAAAUAUCACUGCAAAAUGGGCCCAAAGGUACCAGGACCACACACAAAUGAGUCUAGGAGGAAGCAGGAUGUGGGAAAGCAGAGAACACAUAAACAUAUAUCUCUUCCUGCCAAUCCCAAGUUAAUAGUCACUCCUGUUUACACUUUGGUCUUGGCAUGUAAUUGGGAUCUUCCAUUUUGGUUCCCCACCUAACCACCUACUACUUUCUUCCCUCCAAGCCCCAGAGGAAUUCAGAAUCUAAGAAAACAACAUUUCAGCCUUCAUGAUUGGUUGGAGCCAAUCAGCUCUCCAGUUAUCUGUAGUUACAAAGACUUAACAAGAGAGUCCAUUUGUUACCACUGAACAAUUCUUAGGAGGCUCCAGACCCAGACUCGCCUUUCUCUUGCUCUUGAAGAUACAAGAAUACCAGUUCUGACCAAGUGUAAACACUUGUCAAUUCUUGGAAAAGAAAGACCUACUCUGGACUCCAAGCCCAAGGCACUCCAACUAGGUUAAGUAACUUGCCCAGAAACCCACAGAAAAUAAGGAGUCAAAGUGGAGCAAAGGUUCAAAUCCAAGACUUUCUGGAUCCAAAAUGUAUGCUCUUACAUUAGACAGUUGUCUAGUUCCUAAUCACUAAAGAGCUGGUCAGAAUGCUUAUAAAAUUGAACAGAAAGGAAGAGAGUUUGACCAGAUUGAAGUGCUCUUUCAGAUCCUAGGAAUCCUCUUGUAUGUGCUCUAAAUUAUUUUUUAAUUUUUUUAAAAUUCUGAGUCAAGAUUUUGCUCUGUUGCCCAGGCUGGAGUACAGUGACUCAAUUACAGCUUGCUGUGACUUUGAACUCCUGGACUCAACGGAUCCUCCCACUUCAGCCUCCCAAAUAACUAGGACUACAGGUAAGCACCACCAAGCCUGGCUAAUUUUUAAAAAUUAUUUUAACUUUUUUUUGUAGAGAUCGGGUCUCAUUAUCCUGCCCAGGCUGGUCUCCAACUCUUGGCCUGAAGUGACCCUCCUGCCUCGGCCUCCCAAGACAUGUAGGCAUGAGCUACUACACCUGGCCCACAUGAUCUAUUUUUUAAAAAAAAUAUUUCUUCUUACUUCAGGAUCCUAAUUACUGAAUUCUUAUACUUUUAAGAAAUGCAGUGGUUCAAUGCAUACUCCUUGUUUCCCUCUAAUUUGUCCUAUCAAAAUGCUGGCCUUCUGAUUUAAUGAAAUAAUAGUAUGAUGCUACCAUUCUUUGUUUUGUCAACCUAAGCACCUGGUUCUUCUUGACAACUGCACAUUCUGCUACAUGCUGUGAUGACCAGGAGAAUCAUUUAAAUUUUUAUUUGGAGGACUCACUUCCAACUUGGAACACAAGCUGCAAAGGAAUUCCCUACCAGCAUGCCAGCACAUCAUUUGGAAGUUCAAGGUAUUCUUGCUCAACAGCUGCACACACAUUAAAAGUCCCUGGGGUACAUGGCGCCUGCUGCCUGGGGUUGGACUCUGUCGCCGGGGAUUCCAGAAAUUAGAGUAGAAUUCACAGCUCUGCCUCUCCACCUGCUGUGAGGUCUUCAAGUUACAACUCCGCCGCCUAUCAGGGACCUCCGUGAUUAGUAAGGGAGAAAUUGUCAUAUUUUUCUCCCUAGAUCACAGGUCUGAGGAAGCAGUUUCCCCAAGAUUUUGUAAAAGUGGCUUUAUAAUUAAAAACAUUGAUUUUCCUAUUAGAAAGGCUACUAUAUCCUUUGGAAAAAGCUUAGAAGUAGUCCGUGAGUCUUGGCUUCUUGCCGUGGCUCCCCCAGGAUAUGAUCUUGGGCGAGUAACCCAGCAGCCCUGACUCUGCUUCCCCACUUAUUAAACAGGUUACUAACACUGUCCUAUCAGGUAGGACAAUGAGAAGGAAAGAACCAAACAAGAGGAGUAUCAGACGAGACCACCAGACUUAAGAUCUAAAAUCCGGCGUCCUCUGGAGGGCGGAUGAGAAGAGGGGUACACUUGGCGGUCUGGAAAAUGUCCUGGGGCCAGUUUCAGGUUUAGGAGCUUGUGGGUAGCGUGGUUUCCCACACGCUGCCUGGCUUCCUACUCUCCCCCGCAGGGGCUGCCUCUCCUCCCACCCCGGAAGGCCGGCACCGGCUUCCCGCACUCGCUGAAGCCCGCACGGAGGCCGGGUGAGCCUGCCGCGGCCUCCCCCUCCCACGCCCCGACGCCAUGGGCCCUGCUCCUCUCCGCAGACGCUGCCCUCCCGCCUCAGGCCCCGGGCCCCGGGCACCGGGCCCGCCCUGCGUCCUGAACCUCGGCAUCCCGCUCUCCGGUCCACGGGACCCUGCUCUGCGGACCGCCGACCUCUCCGCUCGCGGCUGGCCUCCCUCGGGGCCCGGGCCGGCCAGGCCUGCUCAUUUCCUUGGCGGCCGCUGGCAUAAGGCGGCCACACGGAGGGCCCGGGACAGCGGUCUGAUGGCGCAGCCCCGCCUUGCCCCGGCGCUCUGACCCGGCCAGCGGCCUCACUCACCGCAGCGGCGCGUGCCCGCAGACAAAGGCCGGCGCCGAGCCCGCAGCAGCGCCAGCGCCGGCGCCGGCGGAAUGGACUACAACUCCCAGGAGUCUCCCCGCGAGCCCGCCCGCCGGGCCGUGGGUCUCGGCGGCCCCGGCUUCCCAAGAGCUCUGUGGGAAAUGUAGUUCUCUGGCGCGCCCUGCGCUCGGGCCCCGCAGGUCCCUAGGGCGCGGGGACCUCAAGCCGUCCCGUUUGGACUGGUAAUCCGGAGACUCACAGCGGUGACCUGUCAGCGGACGCGGAGCCGGGACGGAGCCACGGCCGCUCAGAUUAGCAGGAUCUGAUUGACAGCAUCGGGGUAGCAGACGCUGAGCCAGGGACUCAGGAAUACAGGGUUCUUGCAGGGCGUCGCGGAAGGAAACGAAGUUUUUGGGAGAAAUCCGUUUGAUAAAGCCUUGGCGGCUUCGAGGUCAUGUGUUGAGCCUCUGGCUGCAUGAACAAAAGCGAAGCCCGCUUUCAUGGAGCUUCUGUGAAGAGCAACAGGAACACAGGCAGUCCAGUCGUCCUGAGAUACUGGGAGGAGCAUGGUUGCUUUUGAACACGUAGGAGAUAAAGCCUCUCUAAUAAUGCCUGUUUUUUUUUUUCCUUCACUCUGUCUCCCAGGCUUGAGUGCAGUGGCACGGUGUCGCCUCACUGCAACCUCCGCCUUCUGGGCUCAAGUGAUUCUCCUGCCCCAGCCUCCCAAGUAGCUGGGACUACAGGAUCGGGGCCACAUCCUGGAGCUGUUCUGCCUGGCCGGGUGUAUCUCUGGGUCCCUGCCUCUGGAGCCCCUCUCCGUAGAUGUGUCUGUCCAUCCUCUUUCGUGAAGGACUAAUAAAGAAUGCUUCCUCUUGC